rnacentral:sRNA from 1 species
GCUGGGCACUGUGGUGCAUGCCUGUAUCCCAGUGGCCUGGGCGGCUGAGACAGGAGGAUUGCAAGUUCAAAGCCAGCCUCAGCAAAAGUAAGGCCCUAAGCAACUCAGUGAGACCCUGUCUCUA